GACAGAGGGUGCAAACGUUUGUUCGGAAUUACUGGGCGUAAAGCGCGUGUAGGCUGCUUCGCAAGUCGGAUGUGAAAGCCCUGGGCUCAACCCAGGAAGUGCAUUCGAGACUGCAUUGCUAGAGUAUGGGAGAGGGAAGUGGAAUUUCCGGUGUAGCGGUGAAAUGCGUAGAUAUCGGAAGGAACAUCAGUGGCGAAAGCGACUUCCUGGACCAUACUGACGCUCAUGUGCGAAGCGUGGGGAGCGAAACAAGGAU
rnacentral:rRNA from 1 species